rnacentral:rRNA from 1 species
UACGAAGGGGGCGAGCGUUGUUCGGAUUUACUGGGCGUAAAGGGCGCGCAGGCGGUCUUGAAAGUCAGGCGUGAAAGCCCCGGGCUUAACCUGGGAAUUGCGCUUGAUACUCUGAGACUGGAGUACGGGAGAGGAGAGUGGAAUUCCCAGUGUAGAGGUGAAAUGCGUAGAUAUCUGGAGGAAUACCGGUGGCGAAGGCGGCAUCCUGGACCGACAUUGACGCUGAGGAGCGAAAGCCAGGGGAGCAAACGGG